CAGCAGCCGCGGGAAUACGAAGGGGGCUAGCGUUGUUCGGAAUUACUGGGCGUAAAGCGCACGUAGGCGGACAUUUAAGUCAGGGGUGAAAUCCCGGGGCUCAACCCCGGAACUGCCUUUGAUACUGGGUGUCUAGAGUAUGGAAGAGGUGAGUGGAAUUCCGAGUGUAGAGGUGAAAUUCGUAGAUAUUCGGGGGAACACCAGUGGCGAAGGCGGCUCACUGGUCCAUUACUGACGCUGAGGUGCGAAAGCGUGGGGAGCAAACAGGAUUAGAUACCCCUGUAGUCCCUGUCUCUUAUAC
rnacentral:rRNA from 1 species